GGCUGGUUAGCUCAGUCGGUUAGAGCACAGUGCUGAUAAUACCAAGGUCACGGGUUCGAUGCCCGUUUGGUCCC
rnacentral:tRNA from 1 species